UACGGGGGGGGCAAGCGUUGUUCGGAAUUACUGGGCGUAAAGGGCUCGUAGGUGGCCAACUAAGUCAGACGUGAAAUCCCUCGGCUUAACCGGGGAACUGCGUCUGAUACUGGAUGGCUUGAGUUCGGGAGAGGGAUGCGGAAUUCCAGGUGUAGCGGUGAAACGCGUAGAUAUCUGGAGGAACACCGGUGGCGAAGGCGGCAUCCUGGACCGACACUGACGCUGAGGAGCGAAAGCCAGGGGAGCAAACGGG
rnacentral:rRNA from 1 species